AGCAACUUGACGCAGUGGAAGCGUGCAGGGCUCAUACUGAUAUGUCACCCUGAAGUCCCUGGAUCGAAACCAGGAGUUGCUA
rnacentral:tRNA from 1 species